UACGUAGGGUGCGAGCGUUGUCCGGAAUUAUUGGGCGUAAAGAGCUCGUAGGCGGUCUGUCGCGUCGGUCGUGAAAACUUGGGGCUUAACCCUGAGCUUGCGGUCGAUACGGGCAUGACUGGAGUUCGGUAGGGGAGACUGGAAUUCCUGGUGUAGCGGUGAGAUGCGCAGAUAUCAGGAGGAACACCGGUGGCGAAGGCGGGUCUCUGGGCCGAUACUGACGCUGAGGAGCGAAAGCGUGGGGAGCGAACAGG
rnacentral:rRNA from 1 species